GACAGAGGAUGCAAACGUUGCUCGGAAUUACUGGGCGUAAAGCGCAUGUAGGCGGCUUGGUAAGUCGGACGUGAAAGCCCGGGCUCAACCCGGAAGCGCGCUCGAUACUGCCGAACUUGGGUCCUGAAGAGGAGAGCGGAAUUCCCGGUGUAGAGGUGAAAUUCGUAGAUAUCGGGAGGAACACCAGUGGCGAAGGCGGCUCU
rnacentral:rRNA from 1 species